rnacentral:rRNA from 1 species
GAUGAACGCUAGCGGCAGGCUUAACACAUGCAAGUCGAGGGGUAUUAUGCUUUCGGGCAUAAGAGACCGGCGCACGGGUGCGUAACGCGUAUGAAAUCUACCUUAUACAGGGGUAUAGCCCGGAGAAAUCCGGAUUAAUCCCCCAUAGUAUUAUAUUGGGGCAUCCCGAUAUAAUUAAAGCUUUUUUGUGGUAUAAGAUGAUCAUGCGUCUUAUUAGCUGGUUGGUAUGGUAACGGCAUACCAAGGCAACGAUAAGUAGGGGUCCUGAGAGGGAGACCCCCCACACUGGUACUGAGACACGGACCAGACUCCUACGGGAGGCAGCAGUGAGGAAUAUUGGACAAUGGUCGAGAGACUGAUCCAGCCAUGCCGCGUGCAGGAUGACGGCCUUACGGGUUGUAAACUGCUUUUUUAGAGGAAGAAUAAUAUCGACUUGUCGAUAGAUGACGGUACUUUAAGAAUAAGCAUCGGCUAACUCCG